rnacentral:rRNA from 1 species
UGUGACUGCGUACCUUUUGUAUAAUGGGUCAGCGACUUAUAUUCUGUAGCAAGGUUAACCGAAUAGGGGAGCCGAGGGAAACCGAGUCUUAAUUGGGCGUUAAGUUGCAGGGUAUAGACCCGAAACCCGGUGAUCUAGCCAUGGGCAGGUUGAAGGUUGGGUAACACUAACUGGAGGACCGAACCGACUAAUGUUGAAAAAUUAGCGGAUGACCUGUGGCUGGGGGUGAAAGGCCAAUCAAACCGGGAGAUAGCUGGUUCUCCCCGAAAGCUAUUUAGGUAGCGCCUCGUGAAUUCAUCUCCGGGGGUAGAGCACUGUUUCGGCUAGGGGGCCAUCCCGGCUUACCAACCCGAUGCAAACUGCGAAUACCGGAGAAUGUUAUCACGGGAGACACACGGCGGGUGCUAACGUCCGUCGUGAAGAGGGAAACAACCCAGACCGCCAGCUAAGGUCCCAAAGUCAUGGUUAAGUGGGAAACGAUGUGGGAAGGCCCAGACAGCCAGGAUGUUGGCUUAGAAGCAGCCAUCAUUUAAAGAAAGCGUAAUAGCUCACUGGUCGAGUCGGCCUGCGCGGAAGAUGUAACGGGGCUAAACCAUGCACCGAAGCUGCGGCAGCGACACUAUGUGUUGUUGGGUAGGGGAGCGUUCUGUAAGCCUGUGAAGGUGUGCUGUGAGGCAUGCUGGAGGUAUCAGAAGUGCGAAUGCUGACAUAAGUAACGAUAAAGCGGGUGAAAAGCCCGCUCGCCGGAAGACCAAGGGUUCCUGUCCAACGUUAAUCGGGGCAGGGUGAGUCGACCCCUAAGGCGAGGCCGAAAGGCGUAGUCGAUGGGAAACGGGUUAAUAUUCCCGUACUUGGUGUUACUGCGAAGGGGGGACGGAGAAGGCUAUGUUGGCCGGGCGACGGUUGUCCCGGUUUAAGCGUGUAGGUGUGUGUUCCAGGUAAAUCCGGUUCACUUUAACACUGAGGCGUGAUGACGAGGCACUACGGUGCUGAAGCAACAAAUGCCCUGCUUCCAGGAAAAGCCUCUAAGCAUCAGGUAACAUCAAAUCGUACCCCAAACCGACACAGGUGGUCAGGUAGAGAAUACCAAGGCGCUUGAGAGAACUCGGGUGAAGGAACUAGGCAAAAUGGUGCCGUAACUUCGGGAGAAGGCACGCUGACACGUAGGUGAAGUGAUUUACUCAUGGAGCUGAAGUCAGUCGAAGAUACCAGCUGGCUGCAACUGUUUAUUAAAAACACAGCACUGUGCAAACACGAAAGUGGACGUAUACGGUGUGACGCCUGCCCGGUGCCGGAAGGUUAAUUGAUGGGGUCAGCGCAAGCGAAGCUCCUGAUCGAAGCCCCGGUAAACGGCGGCCGUAACUAUAACGGUCCUAAGGUAGCGAAAUUCCUUGUCGGGUAAGUUCCGACCUGCACGAAUGGCGUAAUGAUGGCCAGGCUGUCUCCACCCGAGACUCAGUGAAAUUGAACUCGCUGUGAAGAUGCAGUGUACCCGCGGCAAGACGGAAAGACCCCGUGAACCUUUACUAUAGCUUGACACUGAACAUUGAGCCUUGAUGUGUAGGAUAGGUGGGAGGCUUUGAAGUGUGGACGCCAGUCUGCAUGGAGCCGACCUUGAAAUACCACCCUUUAAUGUUUGAUGUUCUAACGUGGACCCGUGAUCCGGGUUGCGGACAGUGUCUGGUGGGUAGUUUGACUGGGGCGGUCUCCUCCUAAAGAGUAACGGAGGAGCACGAAGGUUGGCUAAUCCUGGUCGGACAUCAGGAGGUUAGUGCAAUGGCAUAAGCCAGCUUGACUGCGAGCGUGACGGCGCGAGCAGGUGCGAAAGCAGGUCAUAGUGAUCCGGUGGUUCUGAAUGGAAGGGCCAUCGCUCAACGGAUAAAAGGUACUCCGGGGAUAACAGGCUGAUACCGCCCAAGAGUUCAUAUCGACGGCGGUGUUUGGCACCUCGAUGUCGGCUCAUCACAUCCUGGGGCUGAAGUAGGUCCCAAGGGUAUGGCUGUUCGCCAUUUAAAGUGGUACGCGAGCUGGGUUUAGAACGUCGUGAGACAGUUCGGUCCCUAUCUGCCGUGGGCGCUGGAGAACUGAGGGGGGCUGCUCCUAGUACGAGAGGACCGGAGUGGACGCAUCACUGGUGUUCGGGUUGUCAUGCCAAUGGCACUGCCCGGUAGCUAAAUGCGGAAGAGAUAAGUGCUGAAAGCAUCUAAGCACGAAACUUGCCCCGAGAUGAGUUCUCCCUGAGACUUUAAGUCUCCUGAAGGAACGUUGAAGACGACGACGUUGAUAGGCCGGGUGUGUAAGCGCAGCGAUGCGUUGAGCUAACCGGUACUAAUGAACCGUGAGGCUUAACCUUACAACGCCGAAG